rnacentral:rRNA from 1 species
GACGAACGCUGGCGGCGUGCUUAACACAUGCAAGUCGAACGGAAAGGCCCUGCUUUUGUGGGGUGCUCGAGUGGCGAACGGGUGAGUAACACGUGAGUAACCUGCCCUUGACUUUGGGAUAACUUCAGGAAACUGGGGCUAAUACCGGAUAGGAGCUCCUGCUGCAUGGUGGGGGUUGGAAAGUUUCGGCGGUUGGGGAUGGACUCGCGGCUUAUCAGCUUGUUGGCGGGGUAGUGGCUUACCAAGGCUUUGACGGGUAGCCGGCCUGAGAGGGUGACCGGCCACAUUGGGACUGAGAUACGGCCCAGACUCCUACGGGAGGCAGCAGUGGGGAAUAUUGCGCAAUGGGCGGAAGCCUGAUGCAGCAACGCCGCGUGCGGGAUGACGGCCUUCGGGUUGUAAACCGCUUUCGCCUGUGACGAAGCGUGAGUGACGGUAAUGGGUAAAGAAGCAUCGGCUAACUACGUG